rnacentral:rRNA from 1 species
GAUGAACGCUGGCGGCGUGCCUAAUACAUGCAAGUCGAGCGAACAGACGAGGAGCUUGCUCCUCUGACGUUAGCGGCGGACGGGUGAGUAACACGUGGAUAACCUACCUAUAAGACUGGGAUAACUUCGGGAAACCGGAGCUAAUACCGGAUAAUAUAUUGAACCGCAUGGUUCAAUAGUGAAAGACGGUUUUGCUGUCACUUAUAGAUGGAUCCGCGCCGCAUUAGCUAGUUGGUAAGGUAACGGCUUCCAAGGCAACGAUGCGUAGCCGACCUGAGAGGGGGAUCGGCCACACUGGAACUGAGACACGGUCCAGACUCCUACGGGAGGCAGCAGUAGGGAAUCUUCCGCAAUGGGGGAAAGCCUGACGGAGCAACGCCGCGUGAGUGAUGAAGGUCUUCGGAUCGUAAAACUCUGUUAUUAGGGAAGAACAAAUGUGUAAGUAACUAUGCACGUCUUGACGGUACCUAAUCAGAAAGCCACGGCUAACUACGUG